rnacentral:rRNA from 1 species
CUACCUUAUACAGGGGAAUAGCCCAGAGAAUUUGGAUUAAUGCCCCAUAGUGUUAUCGAAUCGCAUGGUUUGAUAACUAAAGUUCCAACGGUAUAAGAUGAGCAUGCGUCCCAUUAGUUAGUUGGUAAGGUAACGGCUUACCAAGACAAUGAUGGGUAGGGGUCCUGAGAGGGAGAUCCCCCACACUGGUACUGAGACACGGACCAGACUCCUACGGGAGGCAGCAGUGAGGAGUAUUUGGGUCCAAUGGGCGCAAGCCUGAACCAGCCAUGCCGCGUGCAGGAAGACGGUCCUAUGGAUUGUAAACUGCUUUUAUACAGGAAGAAACCCUCCCACGUGUGGGAGCUUGACGGUACUGUAGGAAUAAGGAUCGGCUAACUCCGUG